rnacentral:rRNA from 1 species
UACGUAGGGGGCUAGCGUUAUCCGGAAUUACUGGGCGUAAAGAGCGCGCAGGUGGUUGAUUAAGUCUGAUGUGAAAGCCCGCGGCUCAACUGCGGGACUGCAUUGGAAACUGUUUUGCUGGAGUAUCGGAGAGGUAAGCGGAAUUCCUGGUGUAGCGGUGAAAUGCGUAGAUAUCAGGAGGAACACCGGUGGCGAAGGCGGCUUACUGGACGACAACUGACGUUGAGGCUCGAAAGCGUGGGGAGCAAACAGGAUUAGAUACCCUGGUA